rnacentral:tRNA from 3 species
UUAUUUUGGCAGAUUAGUGUAUUUGAUUUAGAAUCAUUUUAAGUAAUAUAUUUACAAGUAAUAU